CGUUCUUCUUCUAUCUCUGCGAGCCCGGGAGGUGAAAAGCUAAGGAAAGCCUGCUCCUAUCCCCAUUUUUACACAAGGUUCUAGAAUCUGCCAGGGACCAACCUGCUUAAACCUGUCUCGGCAUAAUUAUGAACACCUCCCUUUGUUCUGCAAAGGGACAGCUGGACAGUGGAUUAUAUAGUCCUCCGAGGUACAGAGGACAUCGCAUUCAUUCCAGCCGCGUUCUUUCCAGAUGUGCAGAGAGCCUGGUGAGGCUGGAGAGGCGGAGGGUGAGAAAGGGAAGUGACUCGUCCACGCUCACCCGGUGAUUCAAUAGUAGAGCAAGUAAUGAGAAUCCAAGAGCUUUGACUAAGGAGCGAAUCACCCCUGACCCCGCCCUGCUAAAGGAAUAGAACGGACACAAACUGGUUGAAACAGCACCGGUGCCAAGAUUUUUCGUCGCCUCCUGUGUUGGCACUGGAGUCCUUUGAGGUAGCAUCUUUCCGUGUGCCUCAGCCGCACAGGAAACUUCCUGAUGCUGAGUGUGCCCUCACAAGGGGUAGAGGCAGAGAAGUCAACUUCUUGGCAGCCUCAUGGAAUAACAGGUUCACCCGGUUGCAGUGGAAGGAGUAGUCUUAUGUAGAAUCUGCUGUCCUCUUAGAAGGCGCCAGGAGAGCAAGUGACCAAGCUGAACCACAGAAUUGCAUUAAAAUUUCUGCUUAUAAUGGCAUGUAUCACGUCUGUUCACAUGUCUGUCAAAGUCAAUCACAUGAUCAAGCUGGACAACGAAGGGGGAAGUAUACUUGACCUAUAAGGAGUUCUGACACAGGUAAGGAUAUGUAAUCCUUUAAU